UUAGAUUAAGUUAUUAAGGGCGCACGGUGGAUGCCUUGGCACUAGAAGCCGAUGAAGGACGUUACUAACGACGAUAUGCUUUGGGUAGCUGUAAGUAAGCGUUGAUCCAGAGAUUUCCGAAUGGGGGAACCCAGCACGAGUUAUGUCGUGUUAUCGACAAGUGAAUUCAUAGCUUGUCAGAAGGCAGACCCGGAGAACUGAAACAUCUUAGUACCCGGAGGAAGAGAAAGAAAAUUCGAUUCCCUGAGUAGCGGCGAGCGAAACGGGAAGAGCCCAAACCAAUAAGCUUGCUUAUUGGGGUUGUAGGACACUCUAUACGGAGUUACAAAGGAAUAUGUUAGACGAAUCAUCUGGAAAGUUGAAUCAAAGAAGGUAAUAAUCCUGUAGUUGAAAAUGUAUUCUCUCUUGAGUGGAUCCUGAGUACGACGGAGCACGUGAAAUUCCGUCGGAAUCUGGGAGGACCAUCUCCUAAGGCUAAAUACUCUCUAGUGACCGAUAGUGAACCAGUACCGUGAGGGAAAGGUGAAAAGUACCCCGGAAGGGGAGUGAAAGAGAACUUGAAACCGUGUGCUUACAAGUAGUCAGAGCCCGUUAAUGGGUGAUGGCGUGCCUUUUGUAGAAUGAACCGGCGAGUUACGAUCUGAUGCAAGGUUAAGCAGAAAAUGUGGAGCCGUAGCGAAAGCGAGUCUGAAUAGGGCGUUCAGUAUUUGGUCGUAGACCCGAAACCAGGUGAUCUACCCAUGGUCAGGUUGAAGUUCAGGUAACACUGAAUGGAGGACCGAACCGACUUACGUUGAAAAGUGAGCGGAUGAACUGUGGGUAGCGGAGAAAUUCCAAUCGAACUUGGAGAUAGCUGGUUCUCUCCGAAAUAGCUUUAGGGCUAGCCUCAAGUGAUGAUUAUUGGAGGUAGAGCACUGUUUGGACGAGGGGCCCCUCUCGGGUUACCGAAUUCAGACAAACUCCGAAUGCCAAUUAAUUUAACUUGGGAGUCAGAACAUGGGUGAUAAGGUCCGUGUUCGAAAGGGAAACAGCCCAGACCACCAGCUAAGGUCCCAAAAUAUAUGUUAAGUGGAAAAGGAUGUGGCGUUGCCCAGACAACUAGGAUGUUGGCUUAGAAGCAGCCAUCAUUUAAAGAGUGCGUAAUAGCUCACUAGUCGAGUGACACUGCGCCGAAAAUGUACCGGGGCUAAACAUAUUACCGAAGCUGUGGAUUGUCCUUUGGACAAUGGUAGGAGAGCGUUCUAAGGGCGUUGAAGCAUGAUCGCAAGGACAUGUGGAGCGCUUAGAAGUGAGAAUGCCGGUGUGAGUAGCGAAAGACGGGUGAGAAUCCCGUCCACCGAUUGACUAAGGUUUCCAGAGGAAGGCUCGUCCGCUCUGGGUUAGUCGGGUCCUAAGCUGAGGCCGACAGGCGUAGGCGAUGGAUAACAGGUUGAUAUUCCUGUACCACCUAACAUCGUUUUAAUCGAUGGGGGGACGCAGUAGGAUAGGCGAAGCGUGCUGUUGGAGUGCACGUCUAAGCAGUGAGAUUGAGUGUUAGGCAAAUCCGGCACUCUUAAGAUUGAGCUGUGAU
rnacentral:rRNA from 1 species